rnacentral:rRNA from 1 species
CGGACGGGUGAGUAACGCGUGGGAAACCUGCCCUGUACCGGGGGAUAACACUUAGAAAUAGGUGCUAAUACCGCAUAAGCGCACAGGAGCGCAUGCUCGAGUGUGAAAAACUCCGGUGGUACAGGAUGGUCCCGCGUCUGAUUAGCCAGUUGGCAGGGUAACGGCCUACCAAAGCGACGAUCAGUAGCCGGCCUGAGAGGGUGGACGGCCACAUUGGGACUGAGACACGGCCCAAACUCCUACGGGAGGCAGCAG